GAGCACCGGCGGUUGGCGUCAACAAGAUCAUGCCUUCUGGAUCAAGGGAUGAAUUUGAAUAUGUUAUACGGAACUUUUACCAAUUUCACUUUCGGGACGACGCACUUCGUUGCACUAAAAAUAUGCUGGGAAAAUAUGAAGAGGAAGGAGCUGGCUGCAGAAUCCCGGUACAGAAUGGGAACAGGGGGUGGACAUUUCAUCCUCAGCAAGCCUGCACUUGAUGCAGCAGUGCCUCACUUAACGGAAAAUCUUGGUUUUCUCUGGGACAGUGAUGCUGUUGCGGUGGAAGAGGCAGCUGCUGCAAAGAUCACUGUCCCAGAGGAGACUGCUGUGGAAGAUGUGCCUCAUGAUCCAGCUCCUGCUACUUCAACUGCACCAGUCCCUCAGACUUCUGCCCAAGGCAACUAUUUGAAUAUUGUAUUGUGUCUGUUCUCAUACUUUAUUCAAAAGUAGCAAAAUGUCCAGUGUACUGACUGAUAACAUGUGAGAAAUUAGAAAAUGGUGGUUUGAGUACUAAUGAUGCUUGAUUGUCCUGCAGAACACAAUUUUUCAUUCCUAAAAGUAAAUGGUCAGGAUAAAUACAUUAAAAUGCCACAUA